GGAUGUGAGGGUGAUCUGGCUGUGACAUCUGUCACCCCAUUGAUCACCAGGGUUGAUUUGACUGAUCUGGCUGGCUAGGCGGUGUCCCCUUCCUUCCUCACUGCUCCAUGUGUGUCCCUCCCCUCCCAAAGCUGUGCUGUGCGCUCGGUCAAAGAGGACGACCCCCCCCAUAGAGCAGGACCGUUUCCUCAGUCCAGGGUAUAUGAGUAGCUGUGCUCCCCUGCUAGGACCUCCAAACCAGCUGUUACAGUGUGAGCUACUUGUUUAUGGACCUGUUUUUUUCUUUACUAGUUCAUUAAUUGCCACUAUAAU
ensembl:misc_RNA 7SK 7SK RNA